rnacentral:rRNA from 1 species
UACAGAGGGGGGCAAGCGUUGUUCGGAAUUACUGGGCGUAAAGGGCGCGUAGGCGGCCCGCUAAGUCGAACGUGAAAUCCCCGAGCUCAACUCGGGAACUGCGUCCGAUACUGGUAGGCUUGAAUCCGGGAGAGGGAUGCGGAAUUCCAGGUGUAGCGGUGAAAUGCGUAGAUAUCUGGAGGAACACCGGUGGCGAAGGCGGCAUCCUGGACCGGCAUUGACGCUGAGGCGCGAAAGCCGGAGGGAGCAAACAGGG